rnacentral:rRNA from 1 species
GCCGCCCGCGACACUGCGAGAAGUCCAUUGAACCUUAUCAUUUAGAGGAAGGAGAAGUCGUAACAAGGUUUCCGUAGGUGAACCUGCGGAAGGAUCAUUGUCGAGACCGAAAUAUAUCGAGCGAUUCAGAGAACCCGUGAAAUAAGCGGCGGCGGUUGCUGCCGUGAAACGGCCAUCUCAGUCGUCGCCCCGCCUCCUUCGGAGGAGGGGGUCCGCGAUGAAGGAUGGCCGAAACCCCAAACCGGCGCAAUUCCGCGCCAAGGAAACUAUUGAAAAACACGAGCCCUGCAUCGGGGCUAUGUGGUGUGGAGCGGCGUUGCACGCCGCACGAAUUGACACGACUCUCGGCAAUGGAUAUCUCGGCUCUCGCAUCGAUGAAGAGCGCAGCGAAAUGCGAUACGUGGUGCGAAUUGCAGAAUCCCGCGAACCAUCGAGUCUUUGAACGCAAGUUGCGCCCGAGGCCAACCGGCCGAGGGCACGUCCGCCUGGGCGUCAAGCGUUGCGUCGCUCCGCGCCGAGUCCCAUCCCACGAGUGGGGGUGACGGCCGAGGCCCGGAUGUGCAGAGUGGCUCGUCGUGCCCAUCGGUGCGGCGGGCUGAAGAGCGGGUUAUCUUCUCGAUGGCCACGAACAACGAGGGGUGGAUUUAACCUACGGGCAAGGCCUGCGUUGUCUCGUGUUGGCCCGAGAGAAGAUUAUACCCUGCGCGUGAUCCCAUCCAUGCGUCGGCCCACAUACGACGGCUUGGAAUGCGACCCCAGGAUGGGCGAGACCACCCGCUGAGUUUAAGCAUAUCAAUAAGCGGAGGA